CUAAGUGCGGCCAUCAUAUGAAUGUUCGGGAAAGAAGAAGAAAAUUACUUCCACCACCAUCUUUUUCAAUCGAUUUUUAUUGAGAAAAGAUUUUAAUAGACAACUUGACGUUGGAUCAAGUAUUUGAAAUUGAUUAUGAAAAUGGUUUGGAAAUGAAAUGAUCAUGAAUGAAAUCUAAUUGAUGGUGAAAAUGAUUUGAUUCGAGAAAGUUGCUCGAUAUUGGAUCGAG
rnacentral:lncRNA from 1 species